AUACGUAGGGGGCAAGCGUUAUCCGGAUUUACUGGGUGUAAAGGGAGUGUAGGUGGUCUGGCAAGUCAGAUGUGAAAGCCCGCGGCUCAACUGCGGGACUGCAUUUGAAACUGCCAGACUGGAGUGCAGGAGAGGAAAGUGGAAUUCCUAGUGUAGCGGUGAAAUGCGUAGAUAUUAGGAAGAACACCAGUGGCGAAGGCGGCUUUCUGGACUGUACCUGACUCUGAGGCUCGAAAGCGUGGGGAGCAAACAGGAUUAGAUACCCUGGUAGUCCACGCGGUAAACGAUGAUCACUAGGUGUCCGUGGGUAUGACCCAUGGGUGCCGCAGCCAACGCAAUAAGUGAUCCCCCUGGGGAGUACGUUCGCAAGAAUGAAACUCAAAUGAAUUGACGGGG
rnacentral:rRNA from 1 species